CCGCUAAACAUGAACACUUAACAAUCAUUCCAUACAACAAAUAUAGUAGACCUAUUGCAUAUGGUAUGAGAAAAACAGACCAAAACAAAAUUUAACUAUAGCCACUGAACCAUGAAAAUGAGGUAAGGUCAGAUGACACCUGCCAGUUGGACAUGUACACCUUACAGUCCUUUCAUACACCGAAUAUACUAGCCCUAUUGCUUAUAGUAUCUGAGAUAUGGACUUGACCACCAAAACUUAACCUUGUUCACUGAUCCAUGAAAUGAGGUCGAGGUCAAGUGAAAACUGCCUAACAGACACGAGGACCUUGCAAGGUACGCACAUAUCAAAUAUAGUUAUCCUAUUACUUAUAAUAAGAGAAAAUUCAACAUUACAAAAAAUUUGAACUUUUUUUUCAAGUGGUCACUGAACCAUGAAAAUGAGGUCAAGGACAUUGGACAUGUGACUGAC
rnacentral:lncRNA from 1 species